GUUGGAUCAGCGCCCACUGUCAAAAUAAAUUAUAAGUGAAUUCGAUCAAGCAAUACGUAGGCACCCGUCAUACUAUGUCACCGACCAACGCAAAUGCAAAUUUUGCCAUUUUAUGAUAUGUGAUCGAUAUCCACAAGCUUGAUGUCGCCAUAUACUCGGCGUUGAU